UGUGUGUAUAGUUUAAAAAAAUAUUAGAUUGUGAUUCUAAAAUUGAAAGUUAGACCCUUUCUACACAC
rnacentral:tRNA from 1 species